CACAGGAGCUGGCUUGGGAAUGUUUCCUGACUCAGCAGCAGGGCGUUCUCUCACCGAGGCCCUGCCGCUGCUAAUAGCUUGUGGUAAUGGAGAAGCGUCUCGCAGGCAGGACGGUGGGAGGCUGAUCAGCUCCGGCAGAAGAAGUGAGGUCAGUGAUAAUGAGUGACAGUGAUGAGGAAUGCAAAUUGCAAGAGGAUUUAUGGAGCAGUUUCUGCUCAGCGAGCAGAUUCCAAAUAAGUGGACUGUUAAUAAGGCAAGCAAGCUCUUUGGCAGUGCCAGCUGUUGGAGGGGGACUUUUUUGACUGGCAUUCACACCAGACCAGCUGCAGGGGUACCACCAGCACAGACAACACUGCACACAUAUCCCUCACCACACACACAGAGGUAGCACGUGGGAUAAGGUGAAAGAAAGCAGGGAUAGGUGGCAGAAGACUGAUUACCAGCACACAAGGGAAAGCCAAAAAAGAGGACAACUUAGCAGGCUCAAGCCAUAACCAAACCCAUUUUUAUCUUCUCUCAGCCCCUUCCGUCUUCCUCAGAAUACACUAUGGUGUUAGAUGAGUAUCUCUCACUAUUCCUGCCAAAGAUGAAGUGACCAAAAGGCAUGCACCAAAAAUCCCAGCAGAGCUGGGAAAGACAAGCUUACUUUGCCCACCUCUUGCCUGCACAAGCUUGAGUGUCUCAGGAUUAUUGCUGCUGUGAAUUACAAAUGGUAGGUGUCACAGGCUCUGCUGAGGAAUGCCACACUCAGGGCAGUCUGCAGAAUGUUGGUGACAUACUAGAAAUCUCUUUUUGUUCAGUAUUAUUCCUUCCAAGAGCUGUGGGAUUUUGUCACAAUAAAGCCUCUCAGCAUCAGAGGAGCAGCCAGUUUCCCAGCCACAGAGCUGCCACCCUCAGCUACUUGGUGCAGUGACACACCCGAGCCUGCAAACCUUCCAUUCCCAGCACUGGCCUUGAAAUUUUACUCCAAGUAAUGUGCCCACCAGAAAGUUGUUAGAUUCAAGUCUUCAGGUUAAGGAGGCCUCACAGACGAGCUGCCAUUGAGCCCUUGUUGCUGGUAAGAUCAAGUUCUCCCCAUCAGAGGAGUAUUUAGGAAAGGCCCAAGGAACUCAAACAUCUCUGUACAUUUGCUAUGACCAUAGGCAAACAAACACAUCAGCUACAUGUACGCAAACGAUCGAUGGAAAGGCAAAGGUGAGUUCUACGAAGCUGUGCAUUUUACUGGAGGAAUGCAUAAACCACAUGGGCAGAAUGAAACUAUCAGCCCCUGCUGAAGCACAGUAAAGCCCUACCAAGAAAGCUAUGGCUAUGAUGGGGAGAAGAGCAGCAGCAGCUCCUACAGUAAGAGACAUUGGUCAGCACCCUCAGACAUCAGACCUUCACAUCUCAGACAGGCAGAGGAAAGAACACACAUAUGACAGCUGGAAGAGAAACCAAAGCGCUUUGCCUCACAAAAGAAAAUACAAAUGAGCAAUCUGAGUGCCAUCAAACCUGCUGUGAGAGAGAAAGAGAGAGAGAGAGGUAGGAUCAAAUCCCUUGUUAGACCUUAAGCUCUCUGGAAUUAGGCCACUUUAAGAAGUAAAAGGACUAGAGUUUAAAGGAUUCUGAGAAUUUCCCAUUCCUUGAGAUAACUAUGACCUUUACAAAGAAAACUACAAAGAACCCAGAGCAUAAAGGAAUGAGACUUCUGUGUCUUUCCUUUUCUUUUUCUUUCUUUCUUUUCUUUACUUUUUUUCCCCUCUCUCUGCUUUCUUUGUAGAAACAGGUAAUUGUGCUGCCCUUUCUUGGAAGAUGCAGUUCUCCCUCAGCUAGAGCUUCAUAAUAAAAGUGCCAGUACUGCCACCCUUGGCCAAUGCAAAAUUUGCAUGGAGAAUACAGUCGUGUGAGACUCAUCAUUAAAAAACCUGUCUUUACAGCAUGCUCUGGAGCAGAGGCAGAAAAGAUACAACUACUGGGGUAAAAUCUAGCCUAAGUCUGUUGAAGUCUUAGCCUAAAUCCACUGAUGUCUAAGUCAACUUCCCUAAUGAAGAUGGACAAUAGCUGGCCCAGGUUACCACCUCUAUUCAAAUGCCUCACAGCUACACAGGCAUGAAGUGGCCAGUGGUGCCCAUUUCAGUUCCUCUGAGAGCUGGUACCUUGUGUCCACAGAUGUCCACUCAGAGAUUAACUAAAUCCACCUGCUGACAUGUACACCAUGCUCUUCUGCCAGUCUACGACAAAGGUUUACAUGCUUCAAAGAAAAUGCUUGGAAGAAAUUCCCUAUAGCUGCAAGAGAUUCCCUAGCUAAAGAGAUGUAGCUACAAGCUGUUAGUAUGUGAACCACGGAAAACAGGAAGAGGAUGAGGAAGGAAAA